GGAUCCAUGGCGCAAUGGUAGUGCGUCUGACUCCAGAUCAGAAGGUUGUGUGAUCGAUUCACGUCGGGUUCA
rfam:Gossypium raimondii Chr08_contig_1247, whole genome shotgun sequence.